rnacentral:lncRNA from 1 species
UAUCGCCGAACACGCAGUCCACCCAACUUGUGAGUGACAAUAUAAGGAUUAUGACAAUCCUGUUUGCUGCCAUUAUAAGGUUUCCUCUGAGAGAGAACCUUAGAAGGAGACUGGUCUCUGUGUCUUUUAAGUCUUUAUAACUACAGGCAUUUAAUUAUUGAGUUUGUUAAUGGUCAAUCGUCAAUGUAUCAUUUUCUCAAAUGCAAAGUGAUAUAGUUAUUGUAACAUAAUUUACUAACAAAAUGAAUUGAGCUAAAUAGUCUAGUAAUUAUUUGUAUUAUUGAUUUUCAAUUAAUGUUAUUCAAAUUUUAUUCAUAUUUAAAUAUGUAUUA